rnacentral:piRNA from 1 species
UGACUUAUCUGCUCAGAACAGCUGUGUCCUU